AGAGGGGUGGAGUCUAAAGUGCAUACAUAUAUAAAUAUUCAUGAGGAGGGUGGAGUCUAAAGUGCAUACAUAUACAACUAUUCAUGAACAGGAGGUGGAGUCUAAAAUGCAUAAAUAUAUAAAUAUUCAUGAUGAGGGUGGGGUCUAAAGUGCAUAAAUAUAUAAAUAUUCAUGAACUGUACAGUCUCACUUCCCAGCGCUGGCCAACCGCUCCUACAGAACACCAAAACACACACACGCUCACACACACACUCUCACACACACACGCUCACACACACACACACACACACGCUCACACACACACACUCACACACACACACGCUCACGCUCACACACACGCUGGCCAACCGCUCCCACAGAACACCAAAACACACACACACACACACGCUCACACACACACACACACACACACACACGCGCUCACACACACACGCGCUCACACACACACGCUGGCCAACCACUCCCACAGAACACCAAAACACACACACACGCUCACACACACACACACGCUCACACACACACACACACACACACGCUCACACACACACGCUCACACACACACGCUGGCCAACCGCUCCCACAGAACACCAAAACAUUUACAACCAGUUUACAGUCUGCAAGAAGAUUAUACAGCAAGCCUGCUUCCUGUAACCUUAUCCACACACACAUGCACACACACACACACAUGCACACACACACACACACACACAUUUAGGCUUUUGGAACGAUAGACAUCACUUGAACCCAGAAGUAUCCCACUGCCUGUGCUCUCAGACCACCUCAAACGAUCUCCUCAUCUGUGUGGCAAUCAGUUAGUCAUGCCUGGGAGCUGAUCUGCUUUAUCUGAGCUCUGCUCCUCAUGCCUGAAAGGUUGUGUAGUCAGUCAGUCUGUCUGUGUGUGUGUGUGUCUCUGUGUGUGUGUGUCUGUAGUUCGCUCAGCACAGGGUGUGUAAUGUGCAAGUCUGUGUGUGUGUGUGUGUGUGUGUGUGUGUGUGUGUGGGUGUGUGUCUGUAGUUCGCUCAGCACAGUGUGUGUGUGUGUGUGUGUGUGUGUGUGUGUGUGUUUUAGUAGACCACUAGCACAGAGACUGGUGCAUUGGGGAGGGAAAGGCAGAAUUCAGCACUCACACAAACACACUCACCCUACGUCUCACACACACACACACACUCGCCCUACGUCACACACACUCACACACUCGCCCUACGUCACACACACACACACUUACUUCAUAACCGUGCAUUUCUAUGUCACACACACACACUCACUUCAUAACCGUGCGUCCCUACAUCACAAACACACACACACACUCACUUCAGACUCUAAAGGCUUAUCUUCACGAGGUUAUAAGGUAUGUUGGGCUCCUCCCUGUCUGCCGCUGAUCAGCCAAUCAGAAGAGCAGCUGGAGUAGACUAGCAAAUCACUAAUGAGGUGCAGCAGCCAAUCAGCUGAAGCUAGGAGGAGCUGUAUAAUUCCUCUGUCAUGUCAUUUAUUUACUGUAGCCAUACAUUCUCAUUCUUUAGUGUGUGUGUGUGUGUGUGUGUGUGUGUGUGUGUGUGUGUGUUGUGUGUGUGUGUGUGUGUGUGUGUGUGUGUGUGUGUGUGUGUGUGUGUGAGAGUGAGAGAGAGAGGAAAAUAAAGUGUGUUCCAGUACCACACACGCAGAAAGAAGACACACACACAGCUGACGAAAACCCAAAUCACCGUUGGCGCAAGACAGCUCUGUGUGUGGACCACACUCCUGCCACACACACACACACACACACACACACAACCCUCUAGCCCUGAACACGGACACACACACACUCACCCCUCUGCCCUGGUCCUGAGUAGGCGACCCACACACACACACACACACACACACGCAUAGACUUGGGUUCCACUAAAGUUAUGCCCAAGCUAUACAUCUCACACAACCUAAAGCCUUGCAUACACACACACACACACACACACCUUAAAGGCUUGCGCACACACACACGUCCUAAAGGCUUGCGUUGAACACUCCAAAUAAUCACUGUCAUCCAUUUUGGACCACAGUUUAAGAAAUUAACCAAUCAGUGAACAGAUAGCUGCUUUUUUUUUUAUUACUAUGUAAUAGUAACAUCCUUUCUAACUGACGGAGGGUUCCACCAAUGGGCAAAGGCACUGGAGCAUUCCGACAGGAGGCGGGCACAGUGGGGAAGGUUGUGAUUGGAGGAGAGAUAAUUGGGGCGGGCUUUGGAUGGACUGCAUGUUGUAAAUGUGUGUGAUUAAAUAAUGAUGACAAACGACUCUGUGUGC
ensembl:lncRNA